CCAGCCUCUCGCGCCCCCAAGGCCCCGCCCCUCUUACCUCGGCGGCAGGUCCAGCUCUGACCCUCCCACGGCGCUCCAGGUGCUCCACCCUUCGUGGCCACGCCCCCGCCCGCCCGCAAGUUUCCAGCUGCCCACCCUAGGCUCGCCCCUCCACCUGCCCCCGCCACCUCCGAGGCCCCUCCUCGAUGCCCCGCCUCCUGAGCUCCUUGAUACGCGGCUCUUACGCCCUCUACCGGCCGGAUUCGCCCAUCCCAUGGAGUCCAGGACAGUCCUUUCCUAAUCCCUUCAAGAGCCGUUUCUAGCCUACUCCCUUCGCAAAGUCCCUUCAGCCUCACACACAAAAGGAGCUCCAACUGAAACGACUUGCCGCUGCCAAACCGACACACCUACCUGUGGCCCUCCACCCUCCUAACAAAACGAAUGGGUCGCCUCUCCUACUGCAAGCUGAUCCUGCCGCUGAGCUGGCCUUCACCUCUGCCCCAGUCUGGCAAGUCUCCCAUUGUACCGGGUACUGGGGCCUUCCCCACCUCCACCUGCCUCUGGGAGGUCCCAUUCAUCCUCAGUCCCAGCUUAAGUGCAAGGUGGCUCCUUGACAUCUGAAUGAGCCAAUGGGAAUUUAUGGAGUGCGUUGGAUAUAUGCGUAAUAUUAUUUCAUUCAUUUUAUUUAAUCCUAGAACCACCCUGUAGGUAAAUAAUAUUGCCUCUUCUCUAUGGGUCAUGAAGGAGAUGUAACUUUGACCAUUGCCAAAGUCAGGAAAUGGCAGUGCCUUCUAUGACUCAAAUUCAGAUUUGAGGACCUUCAAACACCAUGCUCCUCCAGUCUUCACUGGCCCCAGAUCCCUGAUGAAGAAGGGGUUCUCUCUCCUUGAGCCCCCAGCAGCCUCUUCGUUCUCCUUGGGGCUAAGCUCGCCUUCCCCAGAAAGAGAAUAGCGUGGUCUGACUCACACUCCCCUCGGCCCAAGAGGACUGUGGCUAGACCUGACUAGUCUGGCAGGCUCUGGGAGCAGGAGGCCCUGGUCCAGAUCAGAGGGACAGGGAUGGGCCUAGGGCAAGAUGGUAGACACUAUGGGAUUGAUUGACCAUGGGCCUUGCCUUUUGCUUCCCCUGGGUUGUGGCAAAUCACUGUAGGGAGAAAAUUCUUUCUCUUUGAGUUGAGACCAGCCUCCUCUAAGUCCCUCACCUCAACUUUGUCUCAGCUCUGCCUCAAAAGUACAUCUCUCCUUCACUGGGGAAUUGAUGGCAAGAAAGAGAACCCUCCUGGCCUAUUGCUCUCUACCUUUGCCUUGCUGUGUGACCUUGUGUGUAUCCUUACACUUCCCCGGGCCUCGGGUGCCUCAUCUGAAAAGUGAGGAGUGGGUCUAGAUUUACCCAAAGGUGCCUCUCUGACUCUAUUUGAAGUCAGACUCUUGUUUCCUCUGAAGUGUUUUUCUACUCUUUUGGGGGAAGUUUUGGUAUUGUGGGGGGACCCUCAUUCUGUGAAUCACUGCUUUCCUCCAUUAACAAUGGUCCCUACCACCUGAAAUUUGUACUUGUUCAAACUCUUUCGUAUCCUAUUUUGUCUUCAUAUCACUUCUGGAAUAGAGGUUUUUAUACCCAUGUCACAGAUGGGUAAACUGAUGGAGAGGAGCAGGGACUCAGGUCACCUCAGCAUCCUGCAGCUUGGCCUUGAGUGGGGCUGACUGAGGACUUUGGAUCAGGAAUUCCCCUUGGUGGGGAGGGAGAGUGUCUAACGAUCUAGGCUGGACCUCCACCCAAUGCAACACUCACCCAAUCAGAGAGUGGCUUGGCUGCUUCCAGCACCUCCUGAGUCCUCCCAGCCUCGGUUGCUUCUGAUUCAUGAUGAGACAAAGUCAUCUCCCAGGUACCGAGGGGGCCUGGUUGUGUUUAGCCCUUCAAAGACUUAUCUAGGAGGUAGCUGGAAACAUGGGGCAUCAAGAUGGAGAGGAGGACACUGUGCUGGGAGUCUAGAGCUGGGCCCAAUGCAGGCACCCUCACAGACACGCCAGGUGACCCUCAGCAGGUCGCUCUCUUCCUUUGGGACUUAGGCUCCUCGCCUAUGAAAGGGACAUGAAAACAACCCCAUCUACCCAGUGACUCACGGUGACCCAGCAAGAUCAGGGCUGUAGGUCCCUUAGAGAAAUCAAGAUAGUAAGGUCGUGAUGAUCACAGUCAUGGCCAAUGAUGGACCUUGGGUACUUAAGAGGGAGAAAGAUGAGGAAUAGAGGACUCCCAAGAAGUAGUAAGCCCCAGGAAGGAACUGUCUUAGGGGGGAAUUGGGCUCUUGACUCCAUUCCCAAGUCAAUUAGAAAUGACCUGAGAGUGUCCCCUUUCCUGUAUAAUUAGCCCUCAAACGCACAGAAUUGAAUUAUUUAUGACUUUUUGUUCAUGGCAUAUUCUCACCACUUAUUUAAUUGGCUCCCACCACAAAACAAAACAAUUAGGACUUUGACGAUCUCCUACAUCUCAUUAUCUAGCUUCCCUAACCCCUUCUCCUGCUGCCGUACCACCCAGGAUAACUAUUUUCUCCUGUGCUCAGCAUGCCCUUGCUUCCUUUUUGUAUAGUUUUGUUGCAUCUGUGUAUUCCUCCAAAGUAUGUAUUUUCAUUUUUGUUGUCUUUUUAACUUUAUAAAAAGGGCAUCUUGCUGUGUACAGUUUA